CGUGCGGAGCGCCUGCGUCAGCGCGCACGGCGCCGCCGGCCCGCCCGUCCUCCCGCGCGCCAGGGCCCAGCCCGGCCCGGCCCGAAGCGGAACCUUCGCGGCCGCCGUCGACCCUGCCCAGCAGUCUGAGACAGAGAGUCCUGGUCCAGAGCUUACAGAAAAAUCUGCAGUUCUUCAGGCACAGAGCUGUGCGGUGGCCUGGCUCCUGCAGAAGUCACCCUGGCUCCUUGCUGAUCUGUCCUCGGCAUCGAAGAAUCUCUAAAACUGGGUGAUCAGUGACAGCAGUGAACUGCUUACAAAGUUGUUCCAGGAGGCGGAGGAUGGGAUGCCUCAUGGGAGGCCCCGUGCUGAUCAUGACGAUGACUCGUGUGUCCACUGGAAACAGAGCCAAAGAACACCGGGCAGACGAAGCUUUCCACUGGGGCAAAAGCCAUUUUCAUCCACCUCUGUACUUCUUUGAGGAAGUCUCUCCAGAACAUCAGUUCCGUAGACAUGUUUCAUGGCCUUAAGCUGCUCCAGAGUUCUUUGUGCAGUGUUUCAGAUACCAAGCUCUGUUCAGUAAGGCAGUAAUAGGCAGUCAGAAGGGAGAAUGCUAAAAUGUUAUGUCACCAUUACUAAGAGGGGCCUACCUUAAAUAGCAGUAAGUGAAUCAGCAUAUGGUAAAGCUAUGACUGCUCACACUCUUCCAUCCUCAGAGACAUUUGAACCAGCUGAAAACACAGCGAGACGGCUGCAGCAGCCAUGAUACGAAGCUGGUUCUAUAGGAACCUGAGGUUUCGUAUGAGGCUUAAAUUUAGUAACACUUGUUUUCCCUUUGGCUCCAUGAAGCCAUGCUGUCUCCAAGGAGGAAACACAACAUUACUGUCCUGACACUGAUCUUCAGCCUAGGAGCUGUGGGAUGAAGCAGUGUAGCACUCUAGUGAAAAGGACACCCCAGCCGUAUCCAGUCCAAGUGGAUUACUGGGCUUACAUAUUUUUAAAAGCUAUUUCCAUAGGGGUUGCCUGUUAACUGCUCUGUUCAGGACUUAAUGCUGGGAGACAGCUGUAAGUGAUCGGGCCUCAAAAACCCAGCACUUCUGUUUACAUGGAGCUUAAAUAGAACAGAAUGUAGAUUGUACAGCACAGAGAUCUCACAACUGGAGGAUUUAAAAGUCAUACCAAAGUGGGUUGGUUUUUUCU